rnacentral:sRNA from 1 species
UCCAGGGCUGACGCCCUGGACUAAUAUGACAGCGCCCUUUCAGGGCG